UCGACAUUGGCUGGCUGUUGAGUCACUCGCAUUAGUGUGCGUGAUUAUUGUGGGCGGAGUUACGUCAUUACCAGCAGAGCCUCACAUCUCUCGCUGCUGAUUUCUGAGCAACGUUGAUGCGUUGAUGUAGCCUACACUAACCAGCUUUUGGUUGUUUGUCCCAGGCACAGUAAAGCAAGAUUUGAGUAACCAUCCACCUGCCUUCAGUGUGAUUCCAUCCACACA